GCUAACGUAGCUUACACAAAGCAUAACACUGAAGAUGUUAAGACGAGACCUAAAAAUCUCCGAAAGCA
rnacentral:tRNA from 1 species